CCAUCGAAAAGGAAGGCGAAAGCUGCGGAGGUUUCGUCGUUUCGGCAAAAGCCCCACUCCCGAGGCAUCGACGAACAUCGCAUCGAGUUCCACGACUUCAGCAGAUUCACCUGCAAUUUUUCCAUUGAGCAGCUCUCCAAGUCUGUUGCUAUCGAGUUUGUCCCCAAAGAUUACAUAAGGACCGGUCAAUGACGAGCCGAGUUCGGACUCGAAGAGCGGGGCACGGGUCAUUUUGAGUGGCUUGAGUAUCAUAGCUGCUUUGGCAUUCUAAUCUUUCAAUUUUCACAAAGAUGCGGGUUUUUUGGCAGCACGCUAGGCGGCGACGGCGUUGCCUCUGAUCCAAGGGAUGAAAAGGCUGCUCUUUGAUUUUCUAGGGCUUUUAGACGAGGUGGAAAACAAAUGUACAAAUUUGGAGACGAGGUGGAAAACAAAUGUACAAAGAUGCGGCAAACGAAGACGAAGAAACACCAACUAAAGUGUAUUCGGACGGGUUCGCACCAAGAAAAAAAAAAAAAAAAAAAAGCCACUUUCCUAGUCGGGUGGGAGACCCAAACAUAUACCAACCCGUUACAAGCCGGUUCAGGUCAAGUUAUUUUAAUUGGGCCAAUCGGUUAUCAGGCCAUAUGCACAGCUCUACUAGCGGCAUGAAAUGUUUGGGCAGAAAAUGAUAGCUCUAUAUAGAAGCAACCGAGCUCAGGGGAUGAUUUCUUGAAACUAUGGGAUCAUUUGUAUAUGACUGAAUAAAGACCAGCUUGAGGGAAUUGAAACUAUUAUGAAAGGCAUUUGGUAAUUAGAAGGAACAAAGUUAUAUUUGAAAAUAAAUUCUCAAGUCCCAACAAAGGUUGUGAAGGCUGCUUUAGCUAGUUGGGAGGAAUUCAAACUACAGGAGGGUAGUUUGAUUAGAGAAAGGCCAGCAGUAGCAGGGCAACAAUGGAGACCUCCAAAAAGAGAUAUUUUUAAAAUAAACUUUGAUGCUGCAUGCAAUGGAUAAAAUAAAUUCUGAAGUUGGAGUCGAUGUUAUAAUAAGAGAUUGGAAGGGGAUGUGUCCCAUUCCUCCUUUUGAGAAAGGUGGGUGAUUGUACUUUUCCUCUUUAGGAAGAUGGUGUGUGGUUAUACUCCUCCUACGUGAGAGGACGGAGUUUGUUUGUAUCUUUCUUCUUUUAAAAGAGAGGUUGUUUAGUUCUAUUUUAAUAGAGCGUUUUUUCUG